rnacentral:rRNA from 1 species
AGGGAUCAUUACCGAGUUUACAACUCCCAAACCCAAUGUGAACCAUACCAAACUGUUGCCUCGGCGGGGUCACGCCCCGGGUGCGUCGCAGCCCCGGAACCAGGCGCCCGCCGGAGGGACCAACCAAACUCUUUUCUGUAGUCCCCUCGCGGACGCUAUUUCUUACAGCUCUGAGCAAAAAUUCAAAAUGAAUCAAAACUUUCAACAACGGAUCUCUUGGUUCUGGCAUCGAUGAAGAACGCAGCGAAAUGCGAUAAGUAAUGUGAAUUGCAGAAUUCAGUGAAUCAUCGAAUCUUUGAACGCACAUUGCGCCCGCCAGUAUUCUGGCGGGCAUGCCUGUCCGAGCGUCAUUUCAACCCUCGAACCCCUCCGGGGGGUCGGCGUUGGGGAUCGGGAACCCCUAAGACGGGAUCCCGGCCCCGAAAUACAGUGGCGGUCUCGCCGCAGCCUCUCCUGCGCAGUAGUUUGCACAACUCGCACCGGGAGCGCGGCGCGUCCACGUCCGUAAAACACCCAACUUCUGAAAUGUUGACCUCGGAUCAGGUAGGAAUACCCGCUGAACUUAA